GACGAACGCUGGCGGCGUGCUUAACACAUGCAAGUCGAACGGAAAGGCCCUGCUUUUGUGGGGUGCUCGAGUGGCGAACGGGGGAGUAACACGUGAGUAACCUGCCCUUGACUUUGGGAUAAGUUAAGGAAACUGGGGCUAAUACCGGAUAGGAGCUCCUGCUGCAUGGUGGGGGUUGGAAAGUUGCUGCGGUUGGGGAUGGACUCGCGGCUUAGCAGCUUGUUGGUGGGGUAGGGGCUUACCAAGGCUUUGACGGGUAGCCGGCCUGGGAGCGUGACCGGCCACAUUGGGACUGAGAUACGGCCCAGUCUCCUACGGGAGGCAGCAGUGGGGAAUAUUGCCCAAUGGGCGGAAGCCUGAUGCAGCAACGCCGCGUGCGGGAUGACGGCCUUCGGGUUGUAAACCGCUUUCGCCUGUGACGAAGCGUGAGUGACGGUACUGGGUAAAGAAGCACCGGCUAACUACGUG
rnacentral:rRNA from 1 species